GGUGGUCCGAGUGCAGUGGUGUUUACAACUAAUUGAUCACAACCAGUUACAGAUUCCUUUGUUCCUUCUCCACUCCCACUGCUCCACUUGACCAGCCUUUA
rnacentral:Y_RNA from 1 species